UACGAAGGGGGCUAGCGUUGCUCGGAAUCACUGGGCGUAAAGGGUGCGUAGGCGGGUCUUUUAAGUCAGGGGUGAAAUCCUGGAGCUCAACUCCAGAACUGCCUUUGAUACUGAGGAUCUUGAGUUCGGGAGAGGUGAGUGGAACUGCGAGUGUAGAGGUGAAAUUCGUAGAUAUUCGCAAGAACACCAGUGGCGAAGGCGGCUCACUGGCCCGAUACUGACGCUGAGGCACGAAAGCAUGGGGA
rnacentral:rRNA from 1 species